rnacentral:rRNA from 1 species
CCUACGGGAGGCAGCAGUGAGGAAUAUUGGUCAAUGGGCGGGAGCCUGAACCAGCCAAGUCGCGUGAAGGAAGAAGGUACUUAGUAUUGUAAACUUCUUUUGUCGGGGAACAAAGGCGGAGACGCGUCUCCGGAUGAGUGUACCCGAAGAAAAAGCAUCGGCUAACUCCGUGCCAGCAGCCGCGGUAAUACGGAGGAUGCGAGCGUUAUCCGGAUUUAUUGGGGUUAACGGGUGGGCAGGGGGGAGAUCAAGUCAGCGGUAAAAUGUCGGGGCUCAACCCCGGCCGGCCGUUGAAACUGGUUGUCUAGAGUUGGAGAGAGGUAUGCGGAAUUCGUGGUGUAGCGGUGAAAUGCAUAGAUAUCACGAAGAACUCCGAUUGCGAAGGCAGCAUACCGGCUCCAUACUGACGCUGAGGCACGAAAGCGUGGGGAUCGAACAGGAUUAGAUACCCGAGUAGUC